rnacentral:rRNA from 1 species
UACGUAGGUGACCAGCGUUUGUCCGGAUUUACUGGGCGUAAAGAGCGCGCAGGCGGUCGUUCAAGUCGAGUGUGAAAGCCCCCGGCUCAACUGGGGAGGGUCAUUCGAUACUGAUCGACUUGAAGGCAGGAGAGGGAAGUGGAAUUCCAAGUGUAGCGGUGAAAUGCGUAGAGAUUUGGAGGAACACCAGUGGCGAAGGCGACUUUCUGUCUGUAACUGACACUGAGGCGCGAAAAGCGUGGGGAGCGAACGAGG